UACGUAGGGUGCAAGCGUUAAUCGGAAUUACUGGGCGUAAAGCGUGCGCAGGCGGUUCGUCGUGUCCGAUGUGAAAGCCCCGGGCUCAACCUGGGAAUGGCAUUGGAAACUGGCGGACUCGAGUGGUGGCAGAGGGGGGUGGGAAUUCCGCGUGUAGCAGUGAAAUGCGUAGAGAUGCGGAGGAACACCGAUGGCGAAGGCAGCCCCCCUGGGCUAACACUGACGCUCAGGCACGAAAGCGUGGGGAGCAAACAGGACUACGAAA
rnacentral:rRNA from 1 species